rnacentral:rRNA from 1 species
AUUGAACGCUGGCGGCAGGCUUAACACAUGCAAGUCGAGCGAGCGGCGGACGGGUGAGUAAUGUCUGGGAAACUGCCUGAUGGAGGGGGAUAACUACUGGAAACGGUAGCUAAUACCGCAUACCAUCAGAUGUGCCCAGAUGGGAUUAGCUAGUAGGUGGGGUAAUGGCUCACCUAGGCGACUAUCCCUAGCUGUUCUGGGAGGAUGACCAUCCACACUGGAACUGAGACACGGUCCAGGCGCCUACGAGAGGCAGCAGUGGUGAAUAUUGCCCAAUUGGCGCAAGCCUGAUUCAGCCAUGCCGCGUGUGUGAAGAAGUCCUUAGGGUUGUAAAGCACUUUCAGCGAGGAGGCGUGACUCGCAGAAGAAGCACCGGCUAACUCCGUGCCAGCAGCCGCGGUAAUUC